GGCCUGGGGACUUUGAACAUCUUUCAUAGUUAUGAAAGGAACAUGGUUCUCCUGUCCCACUAGACAUUCACAGAAGAGGCCUGGUGAAAAGGUUUCCAACAAUCUGCAAAGCAAGACCAUGAAGAUACAAGGGUGCUGAGGAAGUUUUACAGGUAAAACUGAUGCUGAUAAUUAAAGUCAAGCCAGUGAUGAUAAAAGUUAUCCCUGUCUGAACUUAAGUGUGGACUCAUGGUAACCUGAGGCUUGACUGCAGAUAUGGGACCAGUAUAGCUUUAGCGGACUAUAGUUUGUAUUAGUGUAUAAGUUCUAAUUUCUUUUCUUUUUUACUUGCAG